GCGUUCUUAGCUCAGCUGGAUAGAGCAACGGCCUUCUAAGCCGUAGGUCACAGGUUCGAAUCCUGUAGAACGCA
rnacentral:tRNA from 4 species